rnacentral:rRNA from 1 species
CAGUAGCCGCGGGAAUACGAAGGGGGCUAGCGUUGUUCGGAUUUACUGGGCGUAAAGCGCACGUAGGCGGAUCGAUCAGUCAGGGGUGAAAUCCCAGAGCUCAACUCUGGAACUGCCUUUGAUACUGUCGAUCUGGAGUAUGGAAGAGGUGAGUGGAAUUCCGAGUGUAGAGGUGAAAUUCGUAGAUAUUCGGAGGAACACCAGUGGCGAGGGCGGCUCACUGGUCCAUUACUGACGCUGAGGUGCGAAAGCGUGGGGAGCAAACAGGAUUAGAUACCCCCGUAGUCCCUGUCUCUUAUAC